UGCCCACCCACUAGCACCAAGAUAAAAGCCAGCAGCCUGGCACUUGACCAAAACAAUUCCGGGUUACGAAACGACGAGAAGAGAAAACCAGACGAAGACAACAUGGGAGGUAGUUCAUCUGUUCCAGCCGGCUCCUUGCUUUAUCCAUCCCCUGCUGGGACCACGAUAGGUUAUGACGUGAAUCCGAACGUCAACCUGAUCACGACUCCUUUUCAGUCUUCACCAUCUGGAGCAUUGCCAACGGGAACAGCAUUAGCAGCAGCAGCAGCAAGUUCAAGCUCUGCUGCAGCACCCACCGCUGGCCAUGUGAUGUCCCUGUUCUGAGUCCCAAAAAUGGAAUCUCAUAACAUGUCCUUCAUUUCAAAUGGCCUGUUCUCAUUAUAUACAAGAGUGCAUUGAAAGCUAAACUCAAUUGAAUUAUGUUACUGAAAAAAAGUCCACGAGUAAAGGAUAAAACUCCAA